CUUCUUGCUCCAGUUAUAGCAGGCAUUGCAGUCGCAGGCUCUUGUUCAUCUGGUGGGGGACUUCAACCACCCAAACAGCAGCAAGAAAAGUAUCACGAGAAGCUGUGGGCAAUCCGGGAGACUACAUGGAGAAUUGCAGACAACAGUAGUUCAGUGGGAGUGUUUAUCUGCUUGAGGGAAACACUAAGUCCUCAGUGAAGUCACUAAAUGAAGUACAGUACCUGGGGAAAAAGGCAAAAACUGAGUUAAAAACUGGUGGUAGAAUUUCAGCAAGAUUCUAGAACAGUCUUUCCAAAUUAGGAAAAUAUUACUCUAUUAUUGUAGAUCAUCC